GAUGAACGUUGGCGGCGUGCCUAAUACAUGCAGGUCGAACGAAGACUGUAGUAAUACUGUCUUAGUGGCGAACGGGUGAGUAACGCGUGGGUGACCUGCCCCGAAGUGUGGGAUAACAGUCCGAAAGGAUUGCUAAUACUGCAUAAUAUCCAAGAGAUUAGACGCUUUCGGAUUAAAGGAGUAAUUCGCUUCGGGAGGGGCCCGCGUCCCAUCAGCUAGUUGGUAAGGUAAUGGCUUACCAAGGCGAUGACGGGUAGGGGACCUGAGAGGGUGGCCCCCCACAAUGGAACUGAAACACGGUCCAUACACCUACGGGUGGCAGCAGUAGGGAAUAUUAGUAAUGGGCGAAAGCCUGAACUAGCAACGCCGCGUGUGCGAAGAAGGCCUUGGGUCGUAAAGCACUUUUUGAGAGGAUGAGGAAGGACGGUACUCUCAGAAUAAGUCUCGGCUAACUACGUGCCAGCAGCCGUACGGUAAAAGUCACGUCG
rnacentral:rRNA from 1 species